rnacentral:rRNA from 1 species
GAUGAACGCUGGCGGCGUGCCUAAUACAUGCAAGUCGAGCGAACAGAUGAGGAGCUUGCUCCUCUGACGUUAGCGGCGGACGGGUGAGUAACACGUGGAUAACCUACCUAUAGACUGGGAUAACUUCGGGAAACCGGAGCUAAUACCGGAUAAUAUAUUGAACCGCAUGGUUCAAUAGUGAAAGACGGUUUUGCUGUCACUUAUAGAUGGAUCCGCGCCGCAUUAGCUAGUUGGUAAGGUAACGGCUUACCAAGGCAACGAUGCGUAGCCGACCUGAGAGGGUGAUCGGCCACACUGGAACUGAGACACGGUCCAGACUCCUACGGGAGGCAGCAGUAGGGAAUCUUCCGCAAUGGGCGAAAGCCUGACGGAGCAACGCCGCGUGAGUGAUGAAGGUCUUCGGAUCGUAAAACUCUGUUAUUAGGGAAGAACAAAUGUGUAAGUAACUAUGCACGUCUUGACGGUACCUAAUCAGAAAGCCACGGCUAACUACGUG